rnacentral:rRNA from 1 species
AUGAGAUUGCAUAUAUAUCCUGUUCAGUUAAGUCUUGUUCCUUCGGUGUGUGUUGAACUGUCAAUCUACAAGUUUCACUUGUCGAAAACUCUGAAGCUUCUUGCGGAGAAGUUGAUUUGCAGAAUGGUAUGUGAGACUUCACAGCCUUCACAGCCUUCACUUGAGGAGCACACUGAAACUGAGAUUCCUGCUGAAGCUGUCAUUUCCCCUUGUUUCAGGUACAUCUGCUGCUCUAAUAACAGCGAAACCGGUGGCGCUGUCAUACCUCCCCGUCCCUCCGACCACCGCGACAUGGGACUCCUCCUGACCGUUGUGAUGGAUUCCGAAGAACCUGAUGCUGUCUUCCGCGCCAUCGCCGGUGAACAGGGCCUUCACUGCAACUAUAUGGUUGCUGUUAUCAUCCAAGCUGGUGACAAGAACGCCCUGCAGCUUCCCAGCCAAGGGCAGCCCAAACUCUCUCUUUCCAUGGAACUGCUCGUCGACGACGGUCACCGUGCCGGGGCGGAGCGCCCCAGGCCGCGUCAAGGUGCGUAG